CGGCAGUUUUCUCACCCAGGGUACCAGCUAGUGGAGACUGUCCAGCUUCAGCUACCCUUCUCGUGAAAUCACGUGCAUCUCGAUCUCGCUAAGCCAUGAGGACUCUGCUGCUCGUUGUGAUUCUGGCUGGAGCAAGCUUGUCUGCUCAUGCUCCGGAAGAGCGGGCCCUGCUGGGUGUCAGUGCCAACGCCAACGUCAACGCCAGCGUCACCAACAGUGUGCCGCUCCCACUCAUUGAAACCGUCGUCAGUACAGUCCUACAAACUCUCCAAGCUACCAUUCAAACUGCGCUUGAUACACUCAGAGGUCUUGUGAGUGAGUUGGGCGGCUUGUUGGUUCCAGCGUUGACUGAGGUACUUGACCUCGUUGAGCAGAUCGUUGGUCUCGUUCUAAGUAUUCUGAAGUCAGUGCUCAGCUGCGCCAACCAACUCGUCUCGGGACUGCUCCCAAGAGUAACCAACUUCCUGGGUGGUAUCGUAAACAGCGCCAGUAGCAUGCUCUCAGCCAUACAAGGUGCUUGCUAAUACUUAACCUCAGUGACGAACGCAACUUCCGCUAGCGAGCUGACACAACACAGAAGAGCGUGACGGUAUCCCAUGAUGCACUGAACGUACUCUAACAGCCACAACGAACUACACACUCGUGUUUACGUGUCUGUUCCGGUUCUGUUAGAGCACAAUAAGCAAUAAACAUGGGUCUGUCGUA